ACCCCCACGCCCGACGCCCCCUCCAGACCCCAGUCCGGCGGCGGCCACCGCCGCCAACCCUGUUCAGGACGGGGAAACCCCGUUCCGCUUCGAUCUUCAAUGGCUUCUCUAAAUGACAGAAGCGGGAGCUGACGCUCCUGUUGCUGGGGAGCCUCGAGCCUUGCCGCCGCGGUCCAGUGCGCCCCCGCAGCGCUGCGCGGUCCUCCGCCUGGUCCUUCGCCGCGCUCCCGGGCAGCUGCAGCUCCACGAGGCAGGGGCCGGCCUGGGACCGGGAGCACGCGACGGUGUUGCCACCCCGGGGUCCGCGCGGGCACUCGACGAACCUGAGGCGGCGAGGUGGCAGAAAGCAAGACGACCUCCGAUUUGGAGCUGGGGGCGGCGGAGGACAUGGAACGCAGAGCCGCGGGAGCGGAAGAGGACGCAUGAGACGCAGAGCGGGAGCGCAGAGCCGCGGGGGCAUAGAGAAACGGAAGCGGAAGAGUGCCGGGAGCCUGGAUAGCAAGGCGAAGAACAUUUAGAGUUUUUUAAGGUAACUUGGAUGGAUAAAGAUAGGAGAAAGAUAUGAGCAGAGGAAGAAAGGGUACAAGGUGGGGAGAAAGUGGAGAAUUCAGGAAAGUUCCAACUACCAUCUUUUCUGUAUUACGAUAUGAUGUCUCACUAAAAAUAAAUUCCAAGCAAAGGAAAUACUACAUGUCUAGCAUCAAACAACUAGCUCACUUUUAGAUCCCAGAGUAGCAACCUACGGAUGGACAGUCGUUCUAAAACGGAUUGUGUUAAGAUGCGAGGUAAAGGCUACCAGGCCUUUUACCCCUGCAGAACUUGAUAUCGUAAUCCAGAGUCCUUGGCAG